GCUUUGGGUUAGAAGGCAUCUCCAACUCUGCGCCAAGGACUCUUUGGUUUCGCCACUUCCAGAUAAACCAACAAGUAAACAUAAAAGGGAAAUAUGCGGCUUUGCCCCCUGGCGCACCUAAUCUUUUCACCAAUGUCUCUAUUUUGAAACCUAAUCACACAAAUGCCCCGUAUAAAAACCCUAUUGACAGGCCUAUUGCCCAUCAUUCACUUUUUUUUUUUUCCUUCAGAGUCGUUGCUCUCUGAAAUCCUGUCCUUUCUCUAGUCUCUUCCUCUUCCUCUUCCUCCUUCUGCGAAACCUCACAGGAAAUCCAGCUCUACCAUCGAAUCUCGCGUAACCUCAUCUCCCAUUAGUUAUAUUUUCCAACUCACAUAUCGGAACCAGACCCUAGCUGCCGCGACUCGCCACCUCCGUCGUCGGCCUCCACAGCGAAGCCACAAUCGUGAUUUGCCACCUCCGUCAUCGACUUCCACCGCGAAACCACAAUGCCUUCAUCGUCGAUCGUCACUGUGGUUUACUAAUUUUUGGAUUAGAUGGUACCUUUCAGAUGAUUACGGUAUUCUUUAUGUGAUGGACAUGUAAUAUAGUCAGUGCUGGAUUACCUAAAUGGUUACCCAUGGUUGCUUCUUGAGAGAUUGUAGUGUUCAACGUUCUCUGAGGUGUAGCUUUGAGUACUCUUAAUGAUCUUGUGAUUUAUCAGAGCUACAGUAGGUGGUUGUAGGCAGAUGCCAUAAACCAUAUCAGUUAUCUCUUUUGCAGGGUUUACUUGCAGGCACCUGGAACCUUUUUGUUUUGCUAUCUCUUUUGCAGGGUUCAUUUUUUUUCAUGACAGUUGGACCUAGAUUUUUGGUUUCUGUAAGAUUGUUGUGAUUGAGAGCCAUCAUCAAUUUGGCGUGGGACAACAUUCCAUUUGAGUUACAGGAAGUGUACUGUAAUUACGAGGAACUA